rnacentral:misc_RNA from 1 species
GCUGCCGCAGCGAUGCCACGCAUGACUAGUCUUACCAUUGCGAAAGUUUUGUGUCCAUCUGUACGUACAUAGCUGUAAAUUAUCGUUGACAAGCUGUGUCAUCCGAACAAGUCAGUAAUAGAUUGAUGGUUGUCUAUGGUCGGCUUUUCCCCCUAAUUCAGUGGCUCAUUCGUAUAACAUAAACGUCCAUGAUGAAUUCCAAGCAAAUAUUGUUGUUCUCUACGUAUAAAAUGGACCAAACAACGUUCUUUCAAUGCAGAACAAUUCUCGAAUCACUUGGCCUUCAGAGGGAUUUUUCCAGUGACCAUCCUUUAAUUAGAAGUUUUUCACAACGGUAUAUCCAUGUAGCUAUGCUUGUGAAAAUCCUUGUAGACAGUUGUUUUGGAUUCCUGUUCUCA